GCCCAGGUGGCGAAAUUGGUAGACGCGCUAGGUUUAGGACCUAGUUCCCUUUAAACGGGAUUGGGAGUUCGAGUCUCCCCUUGGGCA
rnacentral:tRNA from 1 species